AGCUUGCUCUCAAGAAGUUAGCGGCGGACGGGUGAGUAACACGUGGGUAACCUGCCCAUAAGACUGGGAUAACUCCGGGAAACCGGGGCUAAUACCGGAUAAUAUUUUGAACUGCAUGGUUCGAAAUUGAAAGGCGGCUUCGGCUGUCACUUAUGGAUGGACCCGCGUCGCAUUAGCUAGUUGGUGAGGUAACGGCUCACCAAGGCAACGAUGCGUAGCCGACCUGAGAGGGUGAUCGGCCACACUGGGACUGAGACACGGCCCAGACUCCUACGGGAGGCAGCAGUAGGGAAUCUUCCGCAAUGGACGAAAGUCUGACGGAGCAACGCCGCGUGAGUGAUGAAGGCUUUCGGGUCGUAAAACUCUGUUGUUAGGGAAG
rnacentral:rRNA from 1 species